rnacentral:miRNA from 1 species
UGGGUUGUCCAAAAAAUUCACAUGUAUUUUUCUGUACAAUGUUACAGAAAAAUCUGAAUGAACUUUUUGGCCAACCUA